GUCUAUGGCCAUGCCACCCUAAACAAGCCUGAUGUCUGAUCUUGGAAGCUAAGCAGGGUUGGGUCUGGUUAGUACUUGGAUGGGAGACCACCUAGGAAGACCGGGUGCUACAGGCU
rnacentral:rRNA from 1 species